rnacentral:misc_RNA from 1 species
GAAAUGCGAUACGUAAUGCGAAUUGCAGAACUCAGUGAAUCAUCGAAUUUUUGAACGCAAAUUGCGCUCUCGGGUUACCCCCAAGAGCACACCUCUCUGAGUGUCGGUUAAACCUUAUGUCACCAAUUUAUUGGUGCACGAUGUGAGGGUAAGUAGCCUUGUGCUGUUUUCCCUUUAAAUACUAAUACUACAUAAGAGUGAGGGAUACUCCUCAGGUGGCAAGUUGAGUUGGUUUACCAACAACGCAAUCCACUUCAAGCUCUUUAUGAUGUAUCUAGAAACAACUCGGUUGUUGUCUUCUGACAGUGUAGACAAUGAUCAAACUUAUGAAUUAGACCUCAGAUGAAGUGGGAAGACCCCCUGAAUUUAA